UACGGAGGGAGCUAGCGUUGCUCGGAAUUACUGGGCGUAAAGGGCGCGUAGGCGGGAUGGCAAGUCGGUCGUGAAAUGCCUCGGCUCAACUGAGGAUCGUCGAUCGAUACUGCCGUUCUUGAGGAUUGCAGAGGAGACUGGAAUUCCCGGUGUAGCGGUGAAAUGUGUAGAGAUCGGGAGGAACACCGGUGGCGAAGGCGGGUCUCUGGGCAAUUCCUGACGCUGAGGCGCGAAAGCGUGGGGAGCAAACGGG
rnacentral:rRNA from 1 species